rnacentral:tRNA from 4 species
GCGGCUGUGGCGGAACUGGCAGACGCGCCAGAUUUAGGAUCUGGUGCCGCAAGGCGUGGAGGUUCGAGUCCUCUCAGCCGCA